GACGAAACAGUGUAUCAUAAUAGUUUUUUCAAAUAAAAUAUUAUGGAUUUUAAAUGUUAAUAUAUCAAUAUCUUAGUAUAAAGUACAAUUUUUAGUAUAGAAAACACUCAACAAGAAUAAAAAACUUGUGGCUUAAGAUCUGAUGGGAGGUGGGUCCUAUAACAUUCACAGGUUGGCUCGGCUCUUGCAAACUCAUACAAUGUGGGGCAUCUCGUGUCUCACUCAAACCUCAUAAUAUCAUCACCAUCUUCAUCUUCAUCUUCAACAUGUUCAUACCUUUACUUUCUUCCCCCAAAGGGUAUAGCUACCACAUACCACUAUCAUUGAUUUCAAUUGUGAUAGUACUUGAAGAAAUUGAGGACUUGUAUUAGAAAAAACAACAUGAUGGAGAAUUACUUGAGCUGGGCACAGGCUUUAGCUUCCGCAUGGGGAUUUAUGUUGGUGGUGGCUCUCAUGUGUUGCUGCCUCAGCACCAAACCAAGACAAGAUAGUGAUGUUAUCUCUGGAAAUGGUGGUUGCACUUGUGAUGGUGGUGGCCAAGCUUGUGUUUGAUUCUUUUUCUUCAUUCAGUUAUCUCUCUCCUUUUGGGUCUCUUCCAUCUUUUUCUCAGAUGUGGGUUAGAUACUUGAUGUAUAUAUAGCUGAUUAACUUAGUGUCAGUUUCCUUUCAGCUUUUAUAUAUUGUUUAGUUUAGAUAGACUUGGUAGUGAGAGGUUCUUAUUCAAACCAUUUUGUAAUUUAGUAAUAUUCAGCUUAUUGAAGGAUAAGUAGAAGGGUUGCAGGUAUAUAUUCAGUGCUCUAAAUUUGAGUUCUCUUGCCAUUUUUCUUUCUACUUUUACUUUUAUUUAUAGCUUUAUAAGCAGUUCACAGUUUUCCUUUGCCAUUGUUAUUAAUACAACAAAGGAUAAACUAAAAACUCAUGAAUGAAAAUCCAUAGGUUUUGU
rnacentral:lncRNA from 1 species